rnacentral:rRNA from 1 species
AUUGAACGCUGGCGGCAGGCUUAACACAUGCAAGUCGAGCGGAGAUGAGGUGCUUGCACCUUAUCUUAGCGGCGGACGGGUGAGUAAUGCUUAGGAAUCUGCCUAUUAGUGGGGGACAACAUUCCGAAAGGAAUGCUAAUACCGCAUACGUCCUACGGGAGAAAGCAGGGGAUCUUCGGACCUUGCGCUAAUAGAUGAGCCUAAGUAGGAUUAGCUAGUUGGUGGGGUAAAGGCCUACCAAGGCGACGAUCUGUAGCGGGGCUGAGAGGAUGAUCCGACACACUGGGACUUAGACACAGCCCAGACUCCUGCGGGAGGCAGCAGUGGGGAAUAUCGGACAAUGGGGGAAACCCUGAUCCAGCCAUGCCGCGUGUGUGAAGAAGGCCUUAUGGUUGUAAAGCACUUUAAGCGAGGAGGAGGCUACUGAGACUAAUACUCUUGGAUAGUGGACGUUACUCGCAGAAUAAGCACCGGCUAACUCUGUGCCAGCAGCCGCGGUAACAC